AAGUAUAAGCAAUUAUACAGCGAAACUGCGAAUGGCUCAUUAAAUCAGUUAUCGUUUAUUUGAUAGUGCCCAUCUACAUGGAUAACCGUGGUAAUUCUAGAGCUAAUACAUGCGUAAAAGCGCGACUUCGGGAGCGCUGUAUUUAUUAGAUUAAAGACCAAUGCCCUCCGGGGCUCACUGGUGAUUCAUGAUAACUCCUCUGAUCGCACGGCCUUGCGCCGGCGACGGCUCAUUCAAAUUUCUGCCCUAUCAACUUUCGACUUUAGUGUAGUGGACUAAAGUGGUUGCAACGGGUAACGGAGGGUUAGGGCUCGACCCCGGAGAAGGAGCCUGAGAAACGGCUACUACAUCCAAGGAAGGCAGCAGGCGCGCAAAUUACCCAAUCCCGACACGGGGAGGUAGUGACAAUAAAUACUGAUACAGGCUCUUUCGGGUCUUGUAAUCGGAAUGAGUACAAUUAAGUCCUUUAACGAGGAGCAAUUGGAGGGCAAGUCUGGUGCCAACAGCCGCGGUAAUUCCAGCUCCAAUAGCGUAUAUUAAAGUUGUUGUGGUUAAAAAGCUCGUAGUUGAACCUGGCCCCGUCCCGGCCGGUCCGCCUCACCGCGUGCACUGGUUCGGGAGGGGCUUCGCACCUUGGGGGUACGCAUGCCCUUCGCUGGGCGUGCGGGGAACCAGGACUUUUACUGUGAAAAAAUUAGAGUGUUCAAAGCAGGCCUAUGCUCGAAUACAUUAGCAUGGAAUAAUAAAAUAGGACGUGCGGUUCUAUUUUGUUGGUUAUGGGACCGCCGUAAUGAUUAAUAGGGACAGUCGGGGGCGUCAGUAUUCGGUGGUCAGAGGUGAAAUUCUUGGACCCACCGAAGACUAACUACUGCGAAAGCAUUCGCCAAGGAUGUUUUCAUUAAUCAGGAACGAAAGUUAGGGGAUCGAAAACGAUCAGAUACCGUUGUAGUCUUAACCAUAAACUAUGCCGACUAGGGAUCGGGCGAUGUUGCUUACUGACUCGCUCGGCACCUUUCGAGAAAUC
rnacentral:rRNA from 1 species